rnacentral:rRNA from 1 species
CCUACGGGUGGCAGCAGUGAGGAAUAUUGGUCAAUGGUCGCUAGCCUGAACCAGCCAAGUAGCGUGAAGGAUGACGGCCCUAUGGGUUGUAAACUGCUUUUAUGCGGGGAUAAAAUGCGUCAUGUAUGCUGUUUUGCAUGUACCUCAUGAAUAAGGAUCGGCUAAUUCCGUGCCAGCAGCCGCGGUAAUACGGAAGGUCCGGGCGUUAUCCGGAUUUAUUGGGUUUAAAGGGAGCGUAGGCGGGGUGUUAAGUGUGCCGUGAAAUGUCGGGGCUCAACCAUAGAAUUGCGGCUCGAACUGGCUUGCUUGAGUGCACGAGAGGUAGGCGGAAUUCGUGGUGGAGCGGUGAAAUGCUUAGAUAUCACGAAGAACUCCGAUUGCGAAGGCAGCAUGCUGCAGUGCUACUGACGCUGAAGCUCGAAAGCGUGGGUAUCAAACAGGAUUAGAUACCCCAGUAGUC